rnacentral:rRNA from 1 species
UGGGGAAUUUUGCACAAUGGGCGCAAGCCUGAUGCAGCGACGCCGCGUGAGGGAUGAAGGCCUUCGGGUUGUAAACCUUUUUCGCUCAUGGUCAAGCCGCAGCUUUGGGUUGUGGUGAGGGUAGUGGGUAAAGAAGCGCCGGCUAACUACGUGCCAGCAGCCGCGGUAAUACGUAGGGCGCGAGCGUUGUCCGGAAUUAUUGGGCGUAAAGGGCUUGUAGGCGGUUGGCCGCGUCUGCCGUGAAAUCCUCUGGCUUAACUGGGGGCGUGCGGUGGGUACGGAAUGUCUUGAGUGCGGUAGGGGGGACUGGAAUUCCUGGUGGGGCGGUGGAAUGCACAGAUAUCAGGAGGGACGCCGGUGGCGAAGGCGGGUCUCUGGGCCGUUACUGACGCUGAGGAACGAAAGAGUGGGGAGCGAGCAGA